UAGGCUCGUCCUAAGAAAGGAUCCAGAUCCGAGACGUAAGGCUCCUAUGGCCAUGGCUUCCAUCGUCUCCAAGCUCGCGCGGGCAGCCUUGGCAGCCCGCGCCUCUCCUUCCGCCGUUGCUGGUGGCCGCCGUCGCUCUGCAAACGCAGAGGCCCCGAUUCAGAAGAAGAGGCAAUCGGACCUUGCGCACAUCUCCUUCCUGAUGCGAAUGUAUUCAAGUCCAAGGAGGCCAUGUGGGCUUUCUAUGAGCACUGGUGCAAAUAUCGCGUGAGCGUAAAGAGAUGGAACGCCGGUUCAAGACAUUUAGUGCUACGGCAAGGCUUGUGCACGACUUCAACAAUCGCCCUGGGGAUGGCGAGUUGUCAAUGAGCCAGUUUUCAGAUAUGACCCAGAAGGAGAGAUUUCAACUGCAUGCACGGCCCAUGUAUUCACGCCGUAACAGUAAGUCCUAAGUUAGGAAGUUAUGCUUGUCACGUGGGGGCGCACCUAUAGGCGCCCAGGUCCGUGUCAACUUAGUUACUUUAGUUAAUUAAGAGUCUGGAUUUGGAGAUGGAAAGUUUUCGUCCCGAAGAAGAUUUUUCCUACCAUUUCCAAAUCUGAUUAGGAGUUUAAUUACAACUCUGUUAGAGUACAGUUUGGUCUCCCUAGUUUGUAAGGGCAACCCUAGCAAUCAAAUACCCAAACACCACUACUUCCUGCAAUCAAAACCUAAUCCCUCAAUUUCCCCAACACUUGUCUACCAACACUACAUGCCUCUAAGUUCCAGCAGUACUGUGUGCCUCUUUGUGGUGUGAACUCAUUUUAGCUUUAAUAAAGGGUACCCUAUAUCUGCAUGUAUAUUGGACAACUAUCUUUUGCUUUGUGUUAUGAGCUCAUUUAGCUUUUGUAAAAGCUAUCUUUUCUGCAUAUACUCUUUUUGGUGCAGAUUAUAAAUUCCACGUCUGGUCAACUUGGCAGACGGUUUCUUUUUCUUUUCUUUUCAGGUUCAUAAAACAAAAAGGGUACGAUAUGAAUGGGAUUAGGCACAAGAUACGAUAAGAAGGAUUCAUCAGGUCACGUAUGAUUUGUGCAAUUUUCCUUUGAAGGCACCGGAUAUGUAUAUAAUUACCCCUACAAAUAAACCCUUCAAUCUUUGUUGCCUUUGUUUAUUUGUUAUUUGCAGCUUUUAUAUGAGCCACUAGAUCUAUGAUGGUUAAAACCGUUGGUUGAAACCCCUCAAUCACAACCGGUUGGGUUUUAGCCGGUGCCUUACUUUUUACAUUUUUAAUCUGCACUGUAACCAGAUCGACCUGUUCAACCUUUCGGCUCCUGCCUCGCCGGGCCGAGGUAGAAAAAUCCUUUCGGCUCCGGCCUGGUCAGGCCGAGGUAAAAAAAAUUAUGUGAUUAUGUAAAAAAAAUCAAGUCACAA